rnacentral:rRNA from 1 species
AUUGAACGCUGGCGGCAGGCCUAACACAUGCAAGUCGAGCGAGCGGCGGACGGGUGAGGAAUGUCUGGGAAACUGCCUGUUGGAGGGGGAUAACUACGGGAAACGGUAGCUAAUACCGCAUACCAUCAGAUGUGCGCAGGUGGGAUUAGCUGGUAGGUGGGGUAAUGGCUCACCUAGGCGACGAUCCCUAGCUGGUCUGAGAGGAUGACCAGCCACACUGGAACUGAGACACGGUCCAGACUCCUACGGGAGGCAGCAGUGGGGAAUAUUGGACAAUGGGCGCAAGCCUGAUGCAGCCAUGCCGCGUGUGUGAAGAAGGCCUUCGGGUUGUAAAGCACUUUCAGCGGGGAGGCGUUACCCGCAGAAGAAGCACCGGCUAACUCCGUGCCAGCAGCCGCGGUAAUAC